CCUGUGGUGGAGCUAUGGAGCUGGCUGAAUGAGGACUGGCUGAGCAGGGAGCUGGCUGGAUCUGGGAAGGAGAGGUUGGAUAAAGACUCCUGUAUAUUGUACUUAUUAGUACCACUGAAGAUGACAGCUUCAGGCUUUCAUGCAAUAUUCUAUUCUGCUGCCUAUCAGCAAUUCACUCAUAGGAAGUCACUCUGAAUUCCCUAACCACAAACAUGAACUGCAAAACUUUCAGGGAGUGUGUCAGCCUGGACAUUUACUUUCCGAAUGUAGGAUUUAUCUUGACCUACAUCAUAAAGCUGGAUUUUUGACCAGCACAGGAAGGCCACUCUGGCACCAAGGACCCAGACUGAGCAAAUUCAAGAGCAUUAAGGCCCUCUAUUGAGAAUGUCUGGCUGCCUAUCCCCAAUGACUAUACUCUUUACAUAGAGACUAGGAGUACUUUGUGGACACACGAGAUCUUCAAAUGGAUAAAGACUUAAGAAAAGAAGGUACUCUGCUGUGUUGCUGGGAG